rnacentral:rRNA from 1 species
CACGUGAGAAACCUGCCCCGAAGACCGGGAUAACUCACCGAAAGGUGAGCUAAUACCGGAUGCCUUCACGACGUCUCAUGGCGAUGUGAAGAAAUGGAUUCCGCUUUGGGAGGGUCUCGCGGCCUAUCAGCUAGUUGGUGAGGUAACGGCUCACCAAGGCGACGACGGGUAGCUGUUCUGAGAGGAAGAUCAGCCACACUGGGACUGAGACACGGCCCAGACUCCUACGGGAGGCAGCAGUGGGGAAUCUUGCGCAAUGGGCGAAAGCCUGACGCAGCGAUGCCGCGUGCGGGAAGACGGCCUUCGGGUUGUAAACCGCUUUCAGCAGGGACGAAAUUGACGGUACCUGCAGAAGAAGCUCCGGCCAACUACGUGCCAGCAGCCGCGGUAAGACGUAGGGGGCGAGCGUUGUCCGGAAUUAUUGGGCGUAAAGGGCUCCUAGGCGGUUCAGUAAGUCGACUGUGAAAAUCCAAGGCUCAACCUUGGGACGCCAGUCGAUACUGCUGUGACUCGAGUUCGGUAGAGGAGUGUGGAAUUCCUGGUGUAGCGGUGAAAUGCGCAGAUAUCAGGAGGACACCAACGGCGAAGGCAGCACUCUGGGCCGUAUACUGACGCUGAAGAGCG